CGUUUUCCGCUUGAUACUCCCUCGAGUUAUGUACUAAUACAGUUCUACAUUUGUUGCAUUUGAUAAUUAUAAAAACCAACUAUGCGCUACUUCAUUGAUAGCUAUAGGUCUAAAUUCUAAACUCUAAACUCUAAACUCUAAACUCUAAACUCUAAACUUUAAUGUCCGUGGAUAUCUUUUAAUUACUAAAGAAAAGAUAUUUCAACUGUAUUUCGGAUGAUAUAGAGUAAAUGAUCUGAAAACAAGUAUAAACCGAAGAGUACAAUAAGAAAUUUCCUCCAUUAUCUGAAUUUUGUUUUUUUUUUUUUUGAUGUGAACCAUUAUCAAAAGUUUACUUAUUUAAGUGAAUCAAGAAUCAUUAUCUAAAGAUCUUGUUUUAAAUUUGUUUUCUAAAUAUCUUCCGAUUUUCAUUUAUUUUUUAUUAGGUAAAAGUUCUAUAAGUUAUAUUUAUAAUCCUAGUCAAUAUUAUGUUAAUUAGCCUUGUAAAGGUCAUAUAUAAAGUAUGUUAGUUCAGCUUAGAUCAAUUUGAUUCAUUAUAUUCUCUUUAAUAUGAAUAUUUGCUCUCUCUGAUUCAAUGAGAAAUAUCAAUUGAUCUUUCUUUCUUCAUUCUUCUGUAGAGCUAGAAUCACAAGAAGAGACUGAAAUUUUGUUCGUUAUUUUUACUUGAUUACAGAAUAUAUAAAUCUGUAAUUGUUGAUUCUUUGAAGUUCGAUUGAAAUUGACUAUUUUCAGUUUCUUGAUGUUUGAUUUUCGCAUAUUCUUUCUUGAAUAUUUGAAGUUUUCUGGAGAAGAAUUAUCUUCAAUGGUAGAAUCUGAAGCAAAUUCAAUUCCUAAUGAAUCGUUACACAAUGUUAUAAUGGAGGUAAUCUAGAUCAUCUUUUUAUUGCAAAUUCUAAUACUCCUACAUCUUCUUUGGUGUAUGCUGUAUUUUCUAGCACAAAUUUCAUUUGUUAGAGUAGAAAUGUUAGGCGUGUUUUAAUUGCGAAAAAUAAGGAAGGUUUUAUCACUGGAUUGAUACCUCUGAUGAAACUAGUAAAGAUUAUCUGAAAUGGACUAGAGUAUAUUACAUGGUGAUGAGCUGGAUUCUUAGUUCUAUGAGUACACACAUAGCAUAUGAUUUUGCAUAUGUGAGCAAUUCUGUUGAAUUGUGGCAAGAAUUUAAUGAAAGAUUUGGACAAUUUAAUGGUCCAUUGAUCCAUCAAUUGAAGAAAGAAAUUGAUAGUUUAAGGCAAGAAAAUCUUACUAUAAUUGCAUAUUAUGGAAAGAUAGACUUUAGGAUGAGCUUAAGUCUUUGAGAAUUACUCCAAGUUGUUGUUGUGGCGCUUUGAGUAAAUGUACUUGUCAAUUUUUGAAGAGAUUGACAGAUAUAGAUGUUGAGGAUAAGCUUAUGCAAUUUUUGCUAGGCUUAAAUAGUGGUUUUGAUAGCACUAUUACAAACAUCCUUUCUAUGGAAUCUUUACCUACAAUGAAUAGUGCAUUCUCAAUUGCUCAACAAAUUGAGAAGCAAAAAGAGAUUUCUGGUGUUUUGGAGGUAGGUGAAAGCAUUGUUAUGGCUAGAGAUGGCAGUGGGUUAUGGACCCUACUCGGAUCCGUGGAUCCAGAUCCAUUUUUGAGGAUCUGGAUCCUCAAAAUUUUAACCCUAUGGAUCGAGGUAGGAUAUGGAUCCUCCUUGAAAAAAAGGGAUCUGGACCGGGUCCUAAAUUAUUACCCAGAUCCAGAUCCGUUUACCCAUUUUUAUAAUAUUAUUAUAAUUUAAUAUUAUAUUUUGAUAAUAUUAUAAUAUUAGUUAGUACAUGUAAAACGAAUUUUCGCUUGAAUUUCGGAUUAUUAUUUUAAUUAAUGUGUGAUUUUUGUGCGAAUUUACAGGAUAAUUAAGUUCGAAAAUUGGGUUGAUAACUAAUCUACAGUUUGAUAAUUGAAUACUCGUAAGUAGUUGCAAUGGUUAUUUUUCAAAAAUUAAAUGUAUUUUUUGGUUGAUGUUAGAUAACUUUAUCAUUUAAAAUCUUUAACUAUUGUGAAAAUUAGGUUAGUUUGAAGACAAUAGGCAAGGAUCCGUUUUGGACCCGGAUCCAUAAGAUCCAUACGGAUCUGGAUCCUCAUUUUUAUUACCCAGUGGAUUCGGGUAGGAUAUGGAUCAUUGGCUUUAAAAAAAAGGAUCUGGAUCUGGAUCCUACCCAUUGCCAUCUCUAGUUAUGGCUACUAAAAGGUUUACUCCAUGAGGUACAAUUAAUGGAAUGCAGAAGUUUCAAGGAAAAAUAGAUUGGAAGAAAGAAAAGUAUGACAAAAAGUGUGAUCACUGCAAGGGAAAAGGUCAUACUAUAGAUCAAUCCUUUAAAUUGUUCGGAUAUCCAGAGUGGUAUACUGUUGCGAAAUACACAAAAGGAGCAAAUGUAGGUAGAGGAAAUGGAAGAAAAUUUGUUACCAAUGUUCAUGUUGCUUUUGGUCAAUGUGAAUCACCUUUGGAUUAUGAAGAUGAUUCUGGUGGCAAUGCUGGUAAUAAUUCUGAACAUCACGUGAAUUCAAAAAUGUCAAGCAACAUCUUUCAAGAAGUGAUGAAGAUGUGAAGGGUAAAUGACAAGCUAAUUCAUCUGAUGGGGGCAACAUGUUAUUUACUAGCUUUGCAGGUUAUAAGAAUUGUGAAUUACCUGAGUAGUUUCAGAAUGGGAGGAGGAUUUAGAGUAUUGCAUUUGCUCAGACCAUUUUUGCCUGAGGUGCAAAGUGCAGACAGGAAGGUUCCCUUCAGAGAAAAGCCGUGGAACUGUCAUGGAGCUCAGUAUCACCUCUAUUGUGACGUCUGGGUUGGUAAUGCAGCUCUUGGCUGGGUCAAAGAUCAUUGAGGUUGAUAACAAUGUCCGUGAAGACCGCGCACUUUUAAAAUUGAAGAAGCUGCUCAGAGAGGGGAGCUCGACGAACUUGUGCUAAUGGUCAUCUGGAAUCGACUUGAUCUUGCUAGAAGAAAUUUUUAGUGAUUGUGUUUUUUUGAACUCAUAAUUGUAUUUCUUAUAAUUUGCAAUUGUUGUUUAUUUGUAGUAUUUCUUGUAUUCAAGAACAAAAAUAUUUGAAUAUAACUUUUUACCUAUAUAUAAUUGAUUAUGUAUUAA